rnacentral:rRNA from 1 species
AGGGAAUCUUCCGCAAUGGACGAAAGUCUGACGGAGCAAUGCCGCGUGAGUGAAGAAGGUUUUCGGAUCGUAAAACUCUGUUGUUAGAGAAGAACAAGGAUGAGAGUAACUGCUCAUCCCCUGACGGUAUCUAACCAGAAAGCCACGGCUAACUACGUGCCAGCAGCCGCGGUAAUACGUAGGUGGCAAGCGUUGUCCGGAUUUAUUGGGCGUAAAGCGAGCGCAGGCGGUUCUUUAAGUCUGAUGUGAAAGCCCCCGGCUCAACCGGGGAGGGUCAUUGGAAACUGGAGAACUUGAGUGCAGAAGAGGAGAGUGGAAUUCCAUGUGUAGCGGUGAAAUGCGUAGAUAUAUGGAGGAACACCAGUGGCGAAGGCGACUCUCUGGUCUGUAACUGACGCUGAGGCUCGAAAGCGUGGGGAGCAAAC